UCUAAAUUUCCCCUUCUUUGUGAAAUCGAAGCUUUUAUGUUAUUGUUAAUUUUAGUUUAUGAUAAUUUUUAAUGGUUGAGUUGUUUCAAAUGGCGGGAUUAUUUUGGUCCCUUCUUCUCUCAAAUAUCCGUUAAAGUGCUGGAGUGGCACACCGUGGCUUUGAAGAAGAGAGGAAAACGCACAAUUCGGCCUCCUCAGUGGAUCCCCGUCGGACAUUUCAGGUUGUACCAUUCCAUUACAUAGAGAUAUCCAGACUUCUUUUUUGACCGGUAAACAUUAAUGCAUUUAUUUUUUAAUUUUAGUGUAAAAUCAUCUAUUAUAUCAAACAAUGUUGAU